CGCGUAAAUAAUCUACCCUUGCAUCUGGGAUAACCCACCGAAAGGUGUGCUAAUACCGGAUACGUUCUUUUUAUUGCGAGAUAAGAAGAAGAAAGGUGGCCUCUGAUAUAAGCUACUGUGCAGGGAGGAGUUUGCGUACCAUUAGCUAGUUGGUAGGGUAAUGGCCUACCAAGGCGACGAUGGUUAGCGGGUCUGAGAGGAUGAUCCGCCACACUGGAACUGGAACACGGACCAGACUCCUACGGGAGCAGCAGUGAGGAUAUUGCGCAAUGGGGGCAACCCUGACGCAGCGACGCCGCGUGGAUGAUGAAGGCCUUGGUCGUAAAUCCUGUCAGAUGGAAAGAAGUGCAUAUGUAUUAAUACUACAUAUGUUU
rnacentral:rRNA from 1 species